GAAAAGAGAGCGGAUGAACUGAGGGUAGCGGAGAAAUUCCAAUCGAACCUGGAGAUAGCUGGUUCUCUCCGAAAUAGCUUUAGGGCUAGCCUCAAGUGAUGAUUAUUGGAGGUAGAGCACUGUUUGGACGAGGGGCCCCUCUCGGGUUACCGAAUUCAGACAAACUCCGAAUGCCAAUUAAUUUAACUUGGGAGUCAGAACAUGGG
rnacentral:rRNA from 1 species